rnacentral:tRNA from 2 species
AGUAAAAUGCCUGAUUAAAAGGAUUAUUCUGAUAAGAUAAAUAAUGUAAUUUAAUUACUUUUACUA